ACUUCCUUCCUGGCUACUGGCCAAUCAGCAUUUUAUUAAACCAGUAGAAGCCACAAAUAUUUACAAUGAACAAGAGCAUUAUCUCACAUCAUUUCCCCCCUUUUUUCUCUUUUCAAAAACGAACACAGACUCUAAUCUCCAUUGUUUAUAUUUUCUUGACCAUUAUCCUUAACAACUUGUAGCCAACAUGUUAAACAACAAUAGCAAAAAAAAAAUUACAUUGUUUUGGGGAAUAUAGGCAUGGUUUUCUAGGCUGCUACCUGCUGAUUGGGGUGCUUUUAAUCUUAUGGGGACCCAAAGAAAAUUUAGGAUUAUAAUCAAGCCCUGACUGGAGUAUUCUGUGUGGUUACAUCAUCUCAACUAGCAGCCAUGAGCCUGUUCAGGUUGCAAAACUCAGAAGAAACUACAAAAACAGAAUUGGGAGAAAAUAAUUGUAAGUCUCAGACCCCUGACACCUACUAAGUGUAUGCAUUUGUAUCCUUUCUCUGGGCUUUCUAAUGUGACUUGCUUUAGGGAAUGGAAUUUUUAACUGUUGUGUCAAACCAGGGUUCAGUAGAUCUCAACCUGCCAUGAUAGGACCCUACAGAAAAAGUUGGUACAGGGAAAGGCUUACUCCACCAAGGCAGCAGGACCCUAAGCAUCACAGGAGCAGGAAUGAUGUUUCUCCAAACCAAUGAUACCAAGGCUAACUGGCUUCCAACACAUGGAAGCUGGGAUGUGGAGUGAUGGCUUUCCAAAUGUCUUUGUAAGUAUUGACUCCAAAUAUGCUUUCAUGUUGGAAUCUGACUCUUGAGGAAGAGAUACAGUGUUGUGAAAUCCCCUGUUUGGAGAGUGCAACCCUUCAUUGAAGAGAAGGAAUAUUCGGAGUCAGUGAGAUGGAUUAGCAUAUAAGGGCACUUGCUGAAGAGACUGAUAACAUGACUUUGAUUCCUAAAAUCCAGAACUAAGUUCAGCAAGUUGGCGUCUGAUAUCCUCAUGCACAGAGCCAUACUGGGAGUUACAGGUACUCAGGAAUACCUGAUGAGUCCUGACUCCUCAGCAAGGAUGCAUUGACCUGAUUGGAAAUUUGAAGUCUGGAAUAAUUGCCAUCAAACCUAAGUGCCCUCAGAUACUCUCUAGCUUUGGAACAGGGUAAAGCCACUGGUGAGAAAGGAAUGGCUAUUCAAAUUGCUAAAAGUAACCCACAUAAGGCAAUUAUUCUCUGAAAUGGCAACAUUCCAUUGACUCUAGUUUUAAUCCAUCAAUCAGUCUUACAGACAUGCCUUCUUUCCUGGAAUUUUUGUCCAUAUCAGUAUGAAUAUAAACUUAAUACAAAAAUAAGACUAUUUGAUGUUGAAAAAAACUUGAUUAUGAAAUUCAAAAUAUAAUCACAGAUAUUAAGUAAUUUGAGACUUUAACAUACAAGAUAAAGAAAAUAUUUCUGAUCACUUGAAUCUGACCACUUGAUAACGAUUUGUAUAAAUUGGUAAUGUUUCACUCACCCUAUUAUUUUUGUGUCUAUUUAAGCCUGUAUGUGUAUAUGAAUGUGUGUGUGUAUGUGUGGGAGAGAGAAAGGGGGGAGCGAGAGAGGCAAAACAUUAAACAAACCAACUCACUUGUUGAGGAAUGCCUUUAUUUCAGAUUAUAGUUUUUAAGACAAACCCAGGCACAUGCACGAGUCAGGCACCUGAUAUCAGAAACUACAGCAGAGACCAUGAAGACAUUCUGCUACCUGACUUGCUCCCAUACUCCAUAUUCAUAAUCUUUUCUUGUACAGACAAAGACUACCUAGUCAGGGAUGGUGCUGCCCACAGUCAGCUGGGUCCUCCACAUCAAUUGUAAAUCAAGAAAAUGCUUCAUAGUUCCUCAAUUGAGUUUUCUCCUUCCCAAGGGACUUUUGUUUGAGUCUGGCUGACAAAAAUCUAAGGAGUCAAUGCUAUGUGUAUAUGUAUAUAAACAUGAUUCUGUGCAUGUAAGUGUAUUUAUAUGGUAUGAGUGUAGUGUAUAUAUGUGUAUUGUGAGUGACUGUCCUUUUAGCCAAACAGAAAGCAUCUGGGGAAGUUCAGGUGCACCCUAUUGCUAAGUAUCUCUCUCUCUCUCUCUCUCUCUCUCUCUCUCUCUCUCUCUCUCUCUCACACACACACACACACACACACACACACACACACACACUAAGCUUGUUCACUGCUUACUCAUCCUCAUGGUGGGAUGAGUGUCCAUUUUUUCCCUACCAGAUUAUUUAUGCAAAUCUGCCUCAAUUUCACAUGGCCUUCCAGGAAGCUUGACUGCAUAGGUUGAGAAAAUGGGAAUGAAGUCUCAUCUAUGCAGCUAUGGGAAAGUCCUCAUACCCACUGUGUAAGGUUUUUCAGGUGUGCCUGUUUGGGGAGGAGCAACCACCUACAUAUAUGCUCCAUGAGAAAGCUGGGUACGUGCAUUGGUUCUGCAUUAUUAACUUUAAUAGAGUAGGCGUUGGUUGUCACUGGGACCUUAGAGGAGAAGUAAACUUUGAAUAAGUCUCCCAUUGGGUAGAAAUUUUAACAAUAAUAUAUAUUAUAAAGAUAGGGUGUGUACACAUGAGGAGACUAGAGGUGGUCCUAAGAUGUCUUUAUUGUUUGUUUUUUAUCUUCUUCCCUUGAGAUAUGGUCUCACGUUGAACUUCAGGAUUACCCUUUAGGCUUAGUUAAUUGGCCUGCAAGCUCCCAGGAUCUACUUGUCUCUCACUCCAGCACUGGUUAUAGGCACAUAUGGAGAUGUACUACUAUUGUGGGAGUGCCAGUGAUUCCAACCCAGGUUUUCAUGCUUGUAUGGUGGGCUAUCUCGCCAUAUUUGAGGGAGUGUAGUAAAGAGACUGCUGGAAUGGCUUCCCCACUAGGGGGAAAUUUUCUACUGUGAACAACAGAGAGCAAAAUAUACUGAGGCAUCUGGUAGAAUCAAGAGCAAGAAGAUAAUAGAAUAGACUCCACAUGGUCAAGGAUAUCUUUGGGAGAUGUGAGAGUGUAGGAGAAAAUAGUACAGAUAGCAAGAGACGGAACAGUAAAAAUACCAAUAGUGACUAAGGGAAGGAGUAGAAAAAGUACAGGACCUGAGCUGAGAAGAGACAGGAGGCUUGCAUGGGGUCUCUGAAGUAUAACAGGUAUUUAUGAAUGAAACUGAAGAAGUUUGAAAGGCAGCAUUGAACUUGGUAAGUAACCACAGAUACAUGUCACUGGAGAGUCCAAAAUCCCUUAUUUCAGAGACAAGGGAAAUAACUCCUUUUGAGAAGAAAACAGGUUCCUCAGUUCCUCAGGGAUGCUAGGUUUUAUCAAAUAACUAGAAAUCCUUCUAUCGUGCAGCUUGAACUCAUAUCUGAAUACAUGAACUAACUGACAGAUAGCACUACCCACCUCAAGUUUAUUCAUAAAAUGUAUUUUCUUCUCUCUAAAUUAUCAGAGAAAUGUAUAUUAUUGAUAUUUGGGAAUAAUAAGAGAAUUGAAGUACCUAUUUAAAAAUCUCUACAGUAUCUCAUUGACUCACAAAAAGGAGACCUGUGAUUUAAUUAGUAUGAACUAGGUGCUAGGCUAUAUGAUUGGUAGUGAAAACUUUGGGGUAAACUUAGAUUGGUUUCCAUUGAAGAUUCAUAGUUUGCAUCAACAAAUCAAGCUCACAGGAGCUGGCAACAAGUACCUUUUCAAACUUCAGGAUUACAGUAACCUUUGAGUCUUCUUUUAAUCACUACAAGCAUUUUUUAGCAUUUUAAACACUUUGUAUCAUUUUCAAAUAUGGCAUUUACAUCAUAUCUGAAGCUCCUAGAGGCUUAAUAAUUAUCUCCCUCCCUUUUCUGAAUUUCAAAAUGAAUAGGUAAUUGUAUCUUUUAUAGCUUGUACCAUAAUUUCCAAAAUAAGUCAGCACUACCAUCUUGAAUACGGUUCCUCAGAUUUAAAACAUCCACAGCUAAACACUGAGCUGAACUCUGGAAUCCAGUUGCAGAGGGGGAGGCAUGAUGAGCAAAGGGGUCAAGACCAGGCUAGAGAAACCCACAGAAACAGCUGACCUGAACAAGGGGGGAGCUCUUGGUCCCCAGACUGAUAACUGGGAAAACAGCAUAGCACUGAUCCAGACUCCAUGAACGAGGAUGUGAGUUUGGAGGACUGGGAAAUCUAUGGGGCCUCUGGUAGUGGAUCAGUAUUUAUCCCUAGUACAUGGAUGGACAUUGGGAGCCCACUCCACAUGGAGGAAUGCUCUCUCAGGCUAGACAUGGGUGAGGGUCUAGGCCCUGCUCCAAAUGAGAUGACAGACUUUUUAGAUCCUCCAUCGAAGUCCUCAUCCCCCCUGGGGAGCAGAAAAGAGAUGGCAUAAGAGUUGGAGGCAGGCAGGGGAAGAGAGGAGGGAGAGGGCAUUGAGACUGACAUGUAAAAGCAGCUUGUUUCUAAUUUAAAAUUGGACUUAUUACAAUUAUAAAAAGAAAAAGAAGAAUGGCUCAGUAUAUGCAAGGCCCCAAGUCAGGUACAGGAGUACACCCAAGCUACCUGCUCUCAGGAGGCUGAUGGAGAGCAAGUGUGAAGGCAGCCUAAGCUACAAGGGAAUUUUUAGGCUAUUCUGGACCAUGCAGUUAGAUCCUAACUAACCAAAUAAAAUCAAAACUUAGCAAGCUGGAAAUGGCUCAAUUUUUCUAUAUUGUGGCUCAUUUAUCUUACUUAUUUAGUCAGGAAAAUUUAAAUAUUUCCAUUUUGAUGACAGAGCUGUCAGUUUCUUCUAGCAAUUUGUAUGUUAACACAGACCAUCAAGAAGAAUUUUCAGUAACUGUGUUAUAAGUAAUGCUUCCCUUUUUGGUUUACUUUUUGUGAUGUUGGCACACAUUGUUAGUUUAAUUAUUAUUGCCUGGAUACAGUUCUUUCUCCUUUUAAUUCUGUAUUUGUCCAUAAUUUUAGAGCAUGUUGCUUAUCAAUAUUAUUGGACCCAAAACUGGCAGCUGCAGAACCAGCAUAAGAUGGAACCAGGCCCCCUGAAUAUUGGUGCCAGUUGGGGGACUUGGGUAGUAGAAGCAAUAUUUAUCCCUAGUGCAUGCAUGGGCUUUGGGAGCCCAUUUCAUGUGGAGGGAUAUUCUCCCUGCCUAGAUACAUGGGGAAGGGCCUAGGUUCUGUGUCAAAUGUUGUGACAGACUUUGAUGAUCCCCCAAGGGAGGCUUCACCUUCUGUGAUUAGUGGAUGGGGUGUGGGAUGGGGGUCAUUGGGGGACUGGGAGGACAGGAGGGAGAGGGAAUUAGGAUUGGUAUGUAAAAUAAGAUUGUAAUUUAAAUAAAAAAUAGUUAAAAAAUAAAACAUCAUUAAAUGUAAUGAGUUUUCUGGGAACAUCAGUUCCCAAAACAUGAAAUAGAGAUGAUUAAUUAUGAUUUCCAGUCCUUAGGCUUGUCUCUAGGUGGCUUUUCUAUUAAUCCAUGUGUUCCCUUGAGGCUUGUUUAUCUCAUUUAUGUACUGUUUAUCCUGAUUUCCUGUUUCCUCUGUGUCUGGCAGGCUGAACCCAGCUGACUGGCCCUAAUAUGGAUGGAUGGCUGACUCCCCCAUUCAGUGUGCCCAACAGGCCCACCUAUUCCUCGUCUGUGUAAAUUUUACUCAUUCAGCUUCUUAUUAGACCACUCACAUGCUUUAGGGAGGCAAGGUAAAACAGCAACACACCUUUACAUAGUUAAACAAAUGACAGAUAAAAGCAGCACAUCUUUACAUAUUUAUACAAGUGCAGCAUAAACAAAUGAAGCAUAUCUAUACAUAGUCAAACAAUUACUUUGCAACUCAAAGAAAUGCAACAUAUCUUUACAUAAAUAAAAAAAUACUCUAUUCCACAACAAUUAAAAUACCACUGUCCUUACUUCCACAGGCCACUCAAAAUGUUGUACUAUAAAAGUGAUUUCAAAAUUCAUAUGCCACUGAACCUUUCUCACAAGAAAUGGAAGCUGUGUGAUGGUGGCACACGCCUUUAAUCCCAGCACUUGGGAGGCAGAAGCAGUCAGAUCUCUGUGAGUUUGAGGCUAUCCACAUCUACAGAGUGAGUUCCAGGACAACAUCCAAAGCAAUACAGACAAAUCCUGUCUCAAAAAAACAAAAAUAAAUAAAUAAAUAAAAAUACAAAAUAAAAAUGAAAUGGAGAGCCAGGCAAUGAAUGAGUCUGACAGGCCCUUCUAAGGACUGUAUUUAUGUGAAGUUUUUUCUUUGGCAUAUAAAUUUCAUCUCACCAUCUGAAUUCAAAUUUGUCCUCAGCCAUUAGAUUACGGUAUUUUCAUUUCUGCCACUAAAAGUUUGCCACCAGCAACCUGAGCACAGCUGGUCUUUGAGAAUCUCUUCCAGUGUUUCAAAUGAGCACUGAUUCCUUCAUUCUCUCAUCACCUAUGCAUACUUGUGGCUGGCCGGAUACAAUGAUUUUUUCAAUGGUGUUAAAUAACUAUUCUCUACCUGCUUGUCUUUAAGGCUUUUGCCUUAAACCUCCCUGCACACUUUUUUGUCUUGCAUCUCUGUUUUUCUUUUUCUUUUUAACUUUUGGCUCCUUUUUAGUCUUUCUCACAUCAUCAUUUCACCUUCACAGAUUGGUCCCUGUCCUCAGGUUCUUCAAACUCUUCCUAAAUGGGCUGCUGUUCAUAACUCUCUAAAGGACUCCUAAAAUAUGACAGACUACAAAGACCACCCCCAUGGAAGGCUACACCCUCCUCCCUGGAGAGCAGAAAUGGAGAACAAUAUGCAUUGGCUACUGGAGUGUUUGGUGAGAUGCCUUGAACAGAGAAAAAACAGGACCCCGGCCCACAGGAGACCAUCUGAACCAGCUGGAGUGAAACACUGAACAUGUGUUCACGAACUUGAGGACUUCUGACCUGCAGCCAGAGGAAGGAAGGAGACACACCCAGUUCCAGUUUCAAGAGGCUUUCCAGAGCCCCAUCUGCCCUAAAGACGGACUACAUCCACCUCUCUGAAGCUGCGAGUGCUCAUUCCUGAGCAGGCUAAGAACUCUACAACAAACAGCUUGCUUUCUUGUCACAAACAGACACACAAAACUGAUUUUCCAGUUUUCCCAUUGUGAAAAAGGACCCAUUUAGGACAGGUGGAUACUGGCAUAAAACAGAAUGGCAGAAGACCUUCACAAUGCUUAAACAAGACAUGGACAAAAGACUUUUCAAUUAAUAUUCAAAGACUGAUAUUACAAACCUGAUGUCAGAACUUGGAACCUUAAACAAGAAAUAGAAAGUUUCAAAGGGCAUUGAGUCCCAGGCAGGGAAUAAAGAAAAAAGGUUUAGAAUUGUGAAAUUGGUCACACCUAACAGGUUGUGAAAAUAUGUAAUUUGAUUGUAUUGUAACUCACCCUAGUGUAUGUUCAUGAUGAGAUUGUUAAUGCCUGUGAUCUUGUUACAUGUGAUAUGCAAAUGUUAUUAAAAACUAGAAGUCAGAGGUCAUUCUAACAGAAAUGUAACAUGUAAUUUACAAGCCUUAGGAUAGAAAUAUGUUUAAAAGAGCAAACUUUAGUAGUGUCUGUAUCAGAGGCACUAGAGGCAUUCCCACACAGAUUUUAAAAGGCCAUUUUAACCUUUAUACAUCUUCAUGCCGCAGGAGAACGUUUGCAGCCGUGAGAGCUCAGGUGCUACCUCCCGGAGGAUUUUUUCUCAUUCAGAAAUGCUUGGAGCUGGACCAUGACCCAAGAGAGGUAUUGUUGGGGACCACAAUACUUCCAUUAUGGAAUCUCUUAAGGUCCAGCCUCCGGUUUCAGCAAACAGGAACACCCAGGAGCUCCGGCCCACUACUGUAUUGCUAAUUCAAACAAGUCUUCUAUUGUAACCCAUGGCCUCAGUGUAGAAUGCCUCCUAUUUUGCAUCUCUAUGGGCCUAAAUAUUGAGUAGGCCCACUCCUGGGCUGAGAACUCUGUCUAUGUGACUAGGAACUGUUUAGGUAAUGCUUGAGUAAAUAGAAUCAUUUGAUAUUAGCUAUAUACAUCAUAAUAGAUGCUUCCUGAUGCUGCCCCUGCCCUUGGAAGACUAUUUUAAAUGGUCUUCUUAAUAAACCGUGGCUUCUUGGCAUCAGCUGGGAGCCCUCCUGAGAUGAUA